ACGCACGCUGGCGGCGUGCUUAACCCAUGCAAGUCGCACGGAAAGGCCCUGCUUUUGUGGGGUGCUCGAGUGGCGAACGGGUGAGUAACACGUGAGUAACCUGCCCUUGACUUUGGGAUAACUUCAGGAAACUGGGGCUAAUACCGGAUAGGAGCUCCUGCUGCAUGGUGGGGGUUGGAAAGUUUCGGCGGUUGGGGAUGGACUCGCGGCUUAUCAGCUUGUUGGUGGGGUAGUGGCUUACCAAGGCUUUGACGGGUAGCCGGCCUGAGAGGGUGACCGGCCACAUUGGGACUGAGAUACGGCCCAGACUCCUACGGGAGGCAGCAGGGGGGAAUAUUGCACAAUGGGCGGAAGCCUGAUGCAGCAACGCCGCGUGCGGGAUGACGGCCUUCGGGUUGUAAACCGCUUUCGCCUGUGACGAAGCGUGAGUGACGGUAAUGGGUAAAGAAGCACCGGCUAACUACGUG
rnacentral:rRNA from 1 species